rnacentral:rRNA from 1 species
AUGGCGAAGGCAAGAGGUCCGACAUUCUCAAGAUUUGAGGAUAUCUUGUUGGUCAAAGCUUGGUUGGCCACAACGAUGGAUCCAAUAUGCGGCACCGAGCAAAACGGGAACAAGUAUUGGGAGAAAAUUUGGUAG